GACUAAGGUGACCUUGGGGUAAGUUUGUUUUUGUUAAUUUUUAUGGUCUUGCUUGCUUGAACUUCAUAGUGUGGUCUGUUGGUGGGUUAUGUGCUGAGCUUAGUGGCCUGCUAGGCAAGGCUGAGAUCUUCGUAAUGAGGCUCUAGCCUGCGAUUUUUUUAUAUCUCUAAUUCUUUAGGCUCCUUUAAUGAGGAGGUGGGACUAAUCAGGGAGAACAGGAGUUUAAAAGCCAGCCCCUCAGCAAAUAGAAGAGCUAGCAAACAGGAGCACCACACGGGACUUUUGUGUGGGAUUGGGAGGGAGCAUGAGAGCAAGAUACACCUAAUAUACAGUCUCUAAACGUAAGUCAAUAAUACCCCUUCCCCAAGAAAAAAAAGUGACACACAAAGAACCAACAAUCCUACCCCACCCCCACAAGAGUAAAAAUCCCGCAGGCGGAAGUCCAGCAGCAGAGUAGGGGUUGCCCACUGAACGCAGCAUGUAUGAUUAGCUGCCUUGUGGGCAGUUGGCAAGUGUGUACAUUCGGUGCAAGCCACUCAGGGGCAUCAGAGAUAGAGUAUGGACUUUUGAGACCAGAGUGGCUGAACUGGAGGAGCCAAGAGAGACGUACAUAGACAAGACUUUCAGGGACACAGUAGAGCAGUACUAGCCUGACACAAUAGAGCAGUCUCACCCCAAAUCUGACAGCCUCUGUGCUGUUGAAAAGGAUGAAAGUCUCUAGGAAGGAGAAUAUCAAGCUGGAAUAGAGGGAAACAGUCCUAUAAUUGGGAUCCUCCUGCCAUAUGAUGUCAUGGUAUCCUUUUACCUGAGGAUACCACUCUGGGGGAGGGGACCUCAGUUAUUAGGGAGAGACUGAUAAUAGUAAUGGGGAAUUUGAUUAUUAGAAUAUAGUUAGCUGGGUUUGGGAUGACCAGGAGGCCCACUUUGUGAAUUGCUUACUGGGUGCAAAGGAUGCAGACCUCUGCACAGACUUAUGUGCAGUGAUGGCUAAACCACAGAGUAAAAUAAGGUAGUUAAAGACAAAAAGACUUUCUGAAACUCAAAUCCAAAUGAGGAAAAUAGGAGAAAAAAACUGUGGCAAGUCGAGUAUAAUUAGGCAGGCCAAACAAGAUUCUGAAGAACAACUUAGCUAAGGAUUAAAAAAAACCUAACAGCUAUUUUUUUUUUAAGCACAUCAGAAACAGGAAGACUGCCAAACAAUCACUGGAGAAUCAGGGUGCUAAUUGAGCAUUCAAGCAAGAGGAGGCCAUUAGGGAGAAGCUAAAUGAAUCCUUGCAUUGGUCUUCAUUGCAGAGGAGGUGAGGGAGAUUCCCACUCCUGAGCCAUUUUUUUAGGAAUUUCAACAACAGGGAGAAGAUGUCAACAAGAAUGGAAACAGUGGAAGCAGAACAACAACUUCAGUGAGGAAGCUGAGCGUAUAGAAAGUGGCAAGGGUUUCAAGUAUUUUGAGAUGUAGAAUGUGGUUUGAUGGGGGACUCAUCUUUGGUGGCAUCAAGAACAUUUCAGUUGUGGAGAAGAUCAUGACUGAUGGAAGGUGCUGUGGCUACUGGAGCACCCAGCAGAGCAGGUUGGAGGAAUCAAGUUUGCAAAUAGUCAGUGCUGAGGAAAGACAGUAGCGGUACAGGAAUGUAUUGAAAUUGAGUGAAUUUGUUGAACUAAUAAAGUAUUCAGGCAUCUGUCCCAAAUUGGCAAGGCUGAUGCUUCUACCCCCCACCCACCCUUUUUUUUCCUCCCCUGAAGAGAAAAUCUUUACAGUGUAAGGAGGUAUACAUUAGCGUUGAGUCAAAGGCAGCAAUUUUUCUCCCAAUUCUAUUUUUAAAAUGAAUAAAAAACUUUUCUUCAAGUAGUUCAGUUAUUUUAAAAGUGGGAGUAGCUGUUUAUUAUCAUUGUUUAAGUGAUCAUGAUUACUCACCUGUUGUGACAGAUGGAUUGGACCCUUAUUGGAAAUGCUGUUGGAGGGAGCAAACUUUAAACAACUAGCUACAUUUUCUCUGCAAACUUGAUUGCAUUCUCGCAAAC